rnacentral:tRNA from 1 species
AAGGCCUUAGCUUAAUUAAAGUGCUUGUCUUGCACACACGAGAUGUGGGAUAGAGUCCUGCAGGUCUUA